rnacentral:rRNA from 1 species
UACGUAGGUGGCAAGCGUUGUCCGGAUUUAUUGGGUUUAAAGGGUGCGUAGGCGGUCCUAUAAGUCAGUGCUGAAAUAUCCCGGCUUAACCGGGAGGGUGGCAUUGAUACUGCAGGACUUGAGUGAAGUCGAGGUAGGCGGAAUUGACGGUGUAGCGGUGAAAUGCUUAGAUAUCGUCAAGAACACCGAUAGUGAAGACAGCUUACUAGACUUCAACUGACGCUGAGGCACGAAAGUGUGGGGAGCGAACAGG